AUACGGGGGGUGCAAGCGUUAUUCGGAUUAUUGGGCGUAAAGAGCGCGUAGGCGGCUUGGUAAGUCAGAUGUGAAAGCCCGGGGCUCAACCCCGGAAGUGCAUUUGAAACUAUCAGGCUUGAGUAUGGGAGAGGGAAGUGGAAUUCCUGGUGUAGAGGUGAAAUUCGUAGAUAUCAGGAGGAACACCGGUGGCGAAGGUGACUUCCUGGACCAAUACUGACGCUGAGGCGCGAAGGCGUGGGGAGCAAACAGGAUUAGAAACCCCAGUAGUCC
rnacentral:rRNA from 1 species